rnacentral:lncRNA from 1 species
GGUAAUCUCAGCUCUCCAUUCAUAAUGGAGAGUUGGAUAAGGAGAAAUAUAUAAGUUUUAUGUAGUAGGAAAGCAUAGAAAGAUUGCGCUUUAUUUAUAUAGGGCAGUUAGAAAGCAAUGUCCAAUGUAAAAAAGAAAGAGUUGCUGAUGAGAGAUGGAACAUGCUACUCUUAAUUUUUGCAAACUGCUUUAUCCCACUCUAAUUUUCCAAACUACUAUUUGUAUUUCCAUACUACUAUUAACGUUAAAAACUGCUCUAUCCUUCUUUAUAUUUGUAGGUCACCUGCCCUGAACCAUCUCUCACAAUAGCAUCCUUUAAUAUGCGUAGAAUAGAAGGGAAAGGUUUCUAUGCUUCCCCUACAGCAUAGAAGAUCUAUGCUUCUCCUACCAUCCAGUCGUCCAAUUUUGAUCAAGAGAGCCACUCACCGUUUGAUCUUAGAUCCAACGUCUUAAAGUAUUUUAUUUUUAGUUUUUUUUAUACAAAUUGUAUGAAUAUCAAAUUUGGUACGUCCUAUCUUCUCAUUGGGGUGCACCUAUAAAAA